UACGUAGGGUGCGAGCGUUGUCCGGAAUUACUGGGCGUAAAGAGCUUGUAGGUGGUUUGUCGCGUUGUUCGUGAAAUCUCACGGCUUAACUGUGAGCGUGCGGGCGAUACGGGCAGACUAGAGUACUGCAGGGGAGACUGGAAUUCCUGGUGUAGCGGUGGAAAUGCGCAGAUAUCAGGAGGAACACCGGUGGCGAAGGCGGGUCUCUGGGCCGAAACUGACGCUGAGGAGCGAAAGCGUGGGGAGCAAACAGG
rnacentral:rRNA from 1 species